UGGGGAAUUUUGGACAAUGGGGGAAACCCUGAUCCAGCCAUCCCGCGUGUGCGAUGAAGGCCUUCGGGUUGUAAAGCACUUUUGGCAGGAAAGAAACGUCAUGGGUUAAUACCCCGUGAAACUGACGGUACCUGCAGAAUAAGCACCGGCUAACUACGUGCCAGCAGCCGCGGUAAUACGUAGGGUGCAAGCGUUAAUCGGAAUUACUGGGCGUAAAGCGUGCGCAGGCGGUUCGGAAAGAAAGAUGUGAAAUCCCAGAGCUCAACUUUGGAACUGCUUUUUUAACUACCGGGCUAGAGUGUGUCAGAGGGAGGUGGAAUUCCGCGUGUAGCAGUGAAAUGCGUAGAUAUGCGGAGGAACACCGAUGGCGAAGGCAGCCUCCUGGGAUAACACUGACGCUCAUGCACGAAGGCGUGGGGAGCAAACAGG
rnacentral:rRNA from 1 species